CUCGGUCGGUUCUUCUCUCCAGUUCCGCCUCCGUCAAAACCCUAAGAUGCAAAUUCUUCCGAACAAGAAGAAGAAGAUCUAAUCAGUUGGAGCUAGAUCCAUUCAAUUGGUCUUAUGUUUCAUUGAAGCCUUCAACUGUGAUAGUGAUUCUUGAGUUGAAGGCUGAUUUUCCUUGCUCUUUCUUCUCAUGUAUUUCCAUUUUUACAGUAGUUUCUUUUGCAUAGGUUCUUGUAUUCUUUCUAUCUUUUUCUCUCAAUAGUUUAAAAAUUCUGAAACUUUAUUUUUAAGGGGUUUUGGUGAGAUUGAUGACUAUGGAGAUCUUGUGUUGUUCGUGGUGAUAACGUUUUAUCUAAUCUUUGGUUUUUGAACCUUUUCUGUGGGUUUUAUUUCGUGUUUAUGUUAUAAUUUUUGAUGUUUUUUAGGACAUUUUUCUGUUCAUUUGCAAUUUCGGAUUUAAAGCUGAAUUAAAUUGAAUAUCCGUUUAAUUUCAUCAUAUAACAAUGGGGGAUUUGGAUUGUACACUUUGAUAUUGGUGCUUUUGGUAUCUGGUAACAAAAUCGAUUCAAUUUCAAUUUUUCUUCUUCAUUUUUGUAAUUUAAUUUUUUGGGUUUUUGGGUUUUUGGGCUUGGGAUUUGUGUAGGUCAGAGAAGACUAAUAGCGAAGUGCAUCAAGUGGACUUGUCGGAAUAUUGUCGUUCUUGCUUGGUUCAGGUGGAUUUUGGCAAUUCCUCUCUGUAAUGCAGUUAAGCUACUGAUUUUAUGGGUUGUAGCAACAACAAGAUAAGUUGCUCUUGGAUUUUACUUUGAGCACUCUUAAAGUAGCUUUGAAUUGUGGAUGGAGAUUGAUUAAUGAAGUUUAUGAUAAAUGAAUGUGUCGUGCAGUUUCUUUGAGCUAUUCAAAUUGUUACAGUGAAGAGGUGAUGAUGAACAUAAAUUGAAUUUGGUAUAAGAAACAAGGAGCAACAUUCAAGUCUAAUCGCAAUACAGACAUUACACCAAACCAAAUGAGGGCAUUUAAGAAGUACUGCUUGUUGAAUGGUCUGAACUCUGAUGCAACACCAAAUGGGUAUUCUACCAGUAGAUCACUAGAGGAUAUUCUUAUGUUGGAUCCCCAAACUGCACCUCUGGUUCCACCACUAAAUCUCAGUACGAAGGGCGAAGUGGUUUAUUAUGUUGAUGGUUCCCAUCAGGUCAGCAAUCUUCUGCAGCAAGCUCUCCUCCUCAUGGGCGUCCUGUACCAGUUCUGUAACAAGAGCCACAGUUAACCAAAGCUCAUCUUUUUUAUGAAAUGCAUGGAUGAAACUGAAGGGCUGUCAGUAGAUACCUUAUUUAUUAACCACGAGGUGUACCAGCAGUGAUCUUCCCAUUUUGGUUCCUGCUAGUUUUAGUUGAUAGAAACUGCCAGUUCCGCCGUUUCGAAGCGUGACUCAAAAUGGAUGACUUGGCUGAAACAAAUGUUGGCGUUUUCGUUUUGAUGUUUUUUUUCUUCUUUCUUACUCUAUAAGAAGAAUGGCCUUAACAUAACUUAGUUACUUAUGUGCUUUACUAUGUUCAGUGCGCACUCCUCAAAUUGAUGGGAAGGAGAUAUUCCGCCAAGCCAGGUCUGACUACUACGGGGUUCAGUUCUUAGUCACGAUUUUUAUUGAAAAUUUCGAAAGUUUACAACUAUACGGAAUUGUGGAUAUUUGGAACUGCAGGAGUACUUUGUCUUAUGAGCAGUUCGGCGCAUUUCUUUCCAACAUCAAGGAGCUGAACUGUCAAAAUCAAACUCGAGAGGAAGGCAUAAUAAUUAUUUGGUACAGACAUGAGACAACAAAGAUCAUUACUUAUCACUCCAAGGGCUGCUUAUUCGUAACAACCAUUAGGACUUAAAGGCGUAUUCCAAAGAUGGUGCAUCAUAAUAGAAUUGCGCAAAAGAAUCCAAAGAAACCAAAUUGGCACCUUCUAAUAAUUGAAAAGGUUGGAAAUUUGGGAUGCGAAGAGAUUGAAUGGGAGUAAAAGAGAAGUUGUUGCUAGUCACUGGGUACACCAUUCUCUCUAUCAUGUUACAUGAUCUGAUACCAUUAGUUGUUACCCCCAACCGUCCAAGCCGCCAUCUAGUGUAUAUUUGUUGGUUCAUGUAUGUUGUGUAACCUUUACAGUGGAUUACAAGUUUAACUAAACGGAAUAUGUCCGGUUUUUUCCAAA